rnacentral:rRNA from 1 species
AGAGUUUGAUCAUGGCUCAGGACGAACGCUGGCGGCGUGCUUAACACAUGCAAGUCGAACGAAGAGCGAUGGAAGCUUGCUUCUAUCAAUCUUAGUGGCGAACGGGUGAGUAACGCGUAAUCAACCUGCCCUUCAGAGGGGGACAACAGUUGGAAACGACUGCUAAUACCGCAUACGAUCUAACCUCGGCAUCGAGGAUAGAUGAAAGGUGGCCUCUACAUGUAAGCUAUCACUGAAGGAGGGGAUUGCGUCUGAUUAGCUAGUUGGAGGGGUAACGGCCCACCAAGGCGAUGAUCAGUAGCCGGUCUGAGAGGAUGAACGGCCACAUUGGGACUGAGACACGGCCCAGACUCCUACGGGAGGCAGCAGUGGGGAAUCUUCCGCAAUGGACGAAAGUCUGACGGAGCAACGCCGCGUGAGUGAUGACGGCCUUCGGGUUGUAAAGCUCUGUUAAUCGGGACGAAAGGCCUUCUUGCGAAUAGUUAGAAGGAUUGACGGUACCGGAAUAGAAAGCCACGGCUAACUACGUGCCAGCAGCCGCGGUAAUACGUAGGUGGCAAGCGUUGUCCGGAAUUAUUGGGCGUAAAGCGCGCGCAGGCGGAUAGGUCAGUCUGUCUUAAAAGUUCGGGGCUUAACCCCGUGAUGGGAUGGAAACUGCCAAUCUAGAGUAUCGGAGAGGAAAGUGGAAUUCCUAGUGUAGCGGUGAAAUGCGUAGAUAUUAGGAAGAACACCAGUGGCGAAGGCGACUUUCUGGACGAAAACUGACGCUGAGGCGCGAAAGCCAGGGGAGCGAACGGGGUUAGAUACCCCGGUAGUCCUGGCCGUAAACGAUGGGUACUAGGUGUAGGAGGUAUCGACCCCUUCUGUGCCGGAGUUAACGCAAUAAGUACCCCGCCUGGGGAGUACGACCGCAAGGUUGAAACUCAAAGGAAUUGACGGGGGCCCGCACAAGCGGUGGAGUAUGUGGUUUAAUUCGACGCAACGCGAAGAACCUUACCAGGUCUUGACAUUGAUGGACAGAACCAGAGAUGGUUCCUCUUCUUCGGAAGCCAGAAAACAGGUGGUGCACGGUUGUCGUCAGCUCGUGUCGUGAGAUGUUGGGUUAAGUCCCGCAACGAGCGCAACCCCUAUCUUAUGUUGCCAGCACGUAAAGGUGGGAACUCAUGAGAGACUGCCGCAGACAAUGCGGAGGAAGGCGGGGAUGACGUCAAAUCAUCAUGCCCCUUAUGACCUGGGCUACACACGUACUACAAUGGGAGUUAAUAGACGGAAGCGAGAUCGCGAGAUGGAGCAAACCCGAGAAACACUCUCUCAGUUCGGAUCGUAGGCUGCAACUCGCCUACGUGAAGUCGGAAUCGCUAGUAAUCGCAGGUCAGCAUACUGCGGUGAAUACGUUCCCGGGCCUUGUACACACCGCCCGUCAAGGGGCGGAAUUUCGUUUAACCC